rnacentral:rRNA from 1 species
GGUUGAUCCUGCCAGUAGUCAUAUGCUUGUCUCAAAGAUUAAGCCAUGCAUGUCUAAGUAUAAACAACUUUAUACUGUAAAACUGCGUACAGCUCAUUAAAUCAGUAAUUAUUUAUUUGAUGGUACCUUACUACAUGGAUACCCGUAGUAAUUCUAGAGCUAAUACAUGCACAAAAUCCCGACUCUCCUGGGAAGGGAUGUAUUUAUUAGAUAAAAAACCAAUGCGGUCUCUGGCCGGUUUCUGGUGAUUCAUAAUAACUG